GGGGGGGCAUGAGUGUCGCCCGGCCCAGAUGCCACAGCCAGUGUCUCUCGCAGUGUCCCCCUGUGCCACCACACUCCAGGAUCCCCAGGUGACCUACGCAGAGCUGCCAGCAACCCGUGGGCGACCGCGGGAAUGCAGGGACAUCUACGGGAAUGUGCUGUGACACUCGGGGCACAGCUGGCACUGGGGGCUCUGGAGAUCCCUGCCCCUUGGUUCCCAUGGCUGCCCACCCUGCCCAGGAGGUGACCACGAAUGAGGAGUCCCCAUGUGAGGCUGUCCAGAGAUCCCCAUUCCAGUACUCCCAGUACUUCCAGGGGCUCCCCAUUCCUCCCCCAUUGCCAGGGGUCACAGGAUCCUUGUGCCACAUACUGGACAUAAAACACAGCUUCUGGAUUAACCCAGGAGAAAUUGUUUUUGUGUGUUCAGC
rnacentral:lncRNA from 12 species